UUGAACGCUGGCGGCAGGCCUAACACAUGCAAGUCGAGCGGAUGAAGGGAGCUUGCUCCUGGAUUCAGCGGCGGACGGGUGAGUAACGCCUAGGAAUCUGCCUGGUAGUGGGGGAUAACGUCCGGAAACGGGCGCUAAUACCGCAUACGUCCUGAGGGAGAAAGUGGGGGAUCUUCGGACCUCACGCUAUCAGAUGAGCCUAGGUCGGAUUAGCUAGUUGGUGGGGUAAAGGCCUACCAAGGCGACGAUCCGUAACUGGUCUGAGAGGAUGAUCAGUCACACUGGAACUGAGACACGGUCCAGACUCCUACGGGAGGCAGCAGUGGGGAAUAUUGGACAAUGGGCGAAAGCCUGAUCCAGCCAUGCCGCGUGUGUGAAGAAGGUCUUCGGAUUGUAAAGCACUUUAAGUUGGGAGGAAGGGCAGUAAGUUAAUACCUUGCUGUUUUGACGUUACCAACAGAAUAAGCACCGGCUAACUUCGUG
rnacentral:rRNA from 1 species